rnacentral:rRNA from 1 species
AUUGAACGCUGGCGGCAUGCCUUACACAUGCAAGUCGAACGGCAGCACGGGGGGUAACCCCUGGUGGCGAGUGGCGAACGGGUGAGUAAUAUAUCGGCACGUGUCCUGUAGCGGGGGAUAACCUAUCGAAAGAUGGACUAAUACCGCAUACGACCUCCGGCUGAAAGCGGAGGCCCGCAAGGCUUCGCCCUAUAGCAGCGGCCGAUAUCGGAUUAGCUAGUUGGCGGGGUAACGGCCCACCAAGGCGACGAUCCGUAGCUGGUCUGAGAGGACGAUCAGCCACACUGGAACUGAGACACGGUCCAGACUCCUACGGGAGGCAGCAGUGGGGAAUUUUGGACAAUGGGCGCAAGCCUGAUCCAGCCAUGCCGCGUGAGUGAAGAAGGCCUUCGGGUUGUAAAGCUCUUUCGGCGGGGACGAAACGGUUCGUGCUAAUACCACGGACUACUGACGGUACCCGCAGAAGAAGCACCGGCUAACUACGUG